rnacentral:lncRNA from 1 species
CGAAACAAGAAAAACACAGGAACAGAAAGUAAUAGAUGACAAAAGGAAGACUGGCGGAAAAGGGGAAGAAGAAAUAAAAAGGUUUCGGCGAAGAAGACAAAGGAGAAAUGAAAAGAUUUCGUUAGAAACGAAAAGGUAGAAGAGACAAAAAGAAUAUGAAGCUUGGGGAAGAAGAAAAGCCGUCGUAUCGAACCAUCGCAUCGAAGCGAGUUCCGAGGUCGCCUAUGAUGAUGAAUAGACGGUGGCAAUUAAGAGGACAUAAUUAAUGCCGCAUAUAAGACAAAAAUCGAGAACGAAUCAGGGCCGUAAAAAAUAAAAUAAACGGGCCAAAAUCGAAUCGCUGGGUCUUG